rnacentral:rRNA from 1 species
UUUCGCAAUGCCCGAAAGGGUGACGAAGCGACGCCGCGUGGGUGAGGAAGGCCUUCGGGUUGUAAAGCCCUGUCAGGAGUUAAGAAAUGUAAGUGCGCUAAUAUCGCAUUUAUCUGACGAAGGCUCCAAAGGAAGUCACGGCUAACUCUGUGCCAGCAGCCGCGGUAAUACAGAGGUGGCAAGCGUUGUUCGGAAUUAUUGGGCGUAAAGAGCACGUAGGUGGGUUUGUAAGUCAGAUGUGAAGGCCUUCUGUUCAACGGAAGAAUUGCAUCUGAAACUGCGAGUCUUGAGUGUAGGAGGGGAGAAUGGAACUUCUGGUGGAGCGGUGAAAUGCGUAGAUAUCAGAAGGAACGCCGGCGGCGAAAGCGAUUCUCUGGCCUAUUACUGACACUCAGUGUGCGAAAGCUAGGGGAGCAAACGGGAUUAGAUACCCCGGUAGUCCUAGCCGUAAACGAUGGGCACUAAGUAGAGGGGUUUUA